rnacentral:rRNA from 1 species
ACUGGGUGAGGAGGGCGCGUGGUGGAUGCCUUGGCGGCUGGGGCCGAGGAAGGACGCGGCCGAGCGGCGAAACGCCCCGGGGAGCUGCGGGCGAGCGGAGAUCCGGGGGUAUCCGAAUGGGGCAACCUGCCCAGGCGAGGAGUCUGGGCGCCUCCACGGUGGUGGAGGAGGGCACCGGGGGAAGUGAAACAUCUCAGUACCCCGAGGAAGCGAGAGGCAGGCCCGGAGUAGUGGCGAGCGAAACGGGCAGAGCCCAAACCGCACGAGCUAGGUGGCCCGCUGGCCGGAAGCUGGUGCGGGGUUGUGCGGCCCAUCGGGCUUGGGCAGCGGACCGAGCACGGAGUGAGCAACCGCUGGGCUAGCCGAACGCGGCUGGAAGGCGCGACCGGAGAGGGUGAGAGUCCCGUAGGCGGUGGCGCAGCGGCUCCGGGAUGGGUGCGCGAGUACUGCCGGGCACGAGGACCCCGGCAGGAAGCAGGGGAGACCACUCUCCAAGGCUCAGCACCCCAGCCGACCGAUAGUGGACGAGUACCGUGAGGGACCGGUGAAAAGGACCCCGGCGAGGGGGGUGAAAGAGCGCCUGAAACCACGCGCCCCCAGGCGGUCGGAGCCUGUGGUGAGCAGGUGACGGCGUGCCUAUUGGAGCAUGAGCCGGCGAGUGGCCGUUCGUGGCGAGGCGAAGGGAGGGGCACCCGAAGCCGGAGCGCAAGCGAGUCCGCAGAGGGCGCAGAGUCGCGGGCGGCCGACCCGAAACCGGGCGAGCUACCCCUGGCCAGGCUGAAGCGCUGGGAAGACCGGCGUGGAGGGCCGAACCGGUGUCCGUGGCAAAGGGCUCGGAGGAGCUGGGGGUAGGGGUGAAAUGCCAAGCGAGCUCGGAGAUAGCUGGUUCUCCCCGAAAUGGCUUGAGGGUCAGCCUUGGCGGGCAAGCCAUGGCGGUAGGGCGCUGGUGCGGUGCGGGGGCGCGGAGCCUACCAAGCCGCGUCAAUCGCCGAAGGUCAUGGCUGGAGCGCCGGGAGUGAGACUUGGGGCGACAAGGUCCUGGGUCGAGAGGGGAACAGCCCAGACCGCCGGCUAAGGUCCCGAAGGUGGGCUGAGUGGGCAAGGAGGUGCGGGCGCGCAGACAGCCAGGAGGUUGGCUUAGAAGCAGCCAUCCUUGAAAGAGUGCGUAACAGCUCACUGGUCGAGUGCCCGUGCGCCGACAAUGGAACGGGGCGAAGCCCACCACCGAAGCCGCGGGCUGCAGGGCGUGGUGCGCUGCAGCGGUAGGGGAGCGUCGGCGUCAGCGGGGAAGGUGCGGUGGGAACCGUGCUGGAGCGGCGCCGAGUGCGAAUGCCGGCACGAGUAGCGUGAGCGGACGGUGAGAAUCCGUCCCACCGGAAGCCGAAGGGUUCCGCAGCGAUGCUCGUCAGCUGCGGGUGAGGCGGGCCUCAGCUGAGGGCAGGAGCCGUAGGCGAGGGACAGCCGGUGAAGAUUCCGGCCCCGCAGCAGGUCCGGUUGGAGCGGCGGGGGGACGCAGUGCGAAGCGUCCGGCGGCCGCAGGGGCCGUCGAAGCGGGGUAGGGGGCCACCUGAGGGAAAGCCCGGGUGGCGGGACCCUGAGCCGCGAGGGCGAGGGGAGGGAGCGAUCCCUCCACCGAGCGGGCGUGGGGCGCUGCCGCGAAAAGCCUCGCCGUGAGGGCCUGGUGCGUCCGUACCGCAAACCGACACGGGUCGGCUGGUCGAGGAGACCGAGGUGGGCGGGUGAGCCCCCGUCAAGGAACUCGGCAAGUUGCCCCCGUAACUUCGGGAGAAGGGGGGCCCCGGUAGGGUGAGGAGCCCGAGGGGGUUGCAGCGAAGGGGCCCAGGCGACUGUUUACCAAAAACACAGGUCUCGGCGAAGGCGGAAAGCCGACGUAUCGGGGCUGACGCCUGCCCAGUGCCGGAAGGUGAACCGGAGGGGUGAUGAGCCCCGAAGGGAAGCCCCGGUGAACGGCGGCCGUAACUCUGACGGUCCUAAGGUAGCGAAAUUCCUUGUCGGGUAAGUUCCGACCCGCACGAAAGGCGUCACGACCUGGGCGCUGUCUCGACGGGGGGCCCGGUGAAACUGCAGAGUCCGUGCAGAUGCGGACGACCCGCGGCGGGACAAAAAGACCCCGUGGAGCUUGACUCCAGCUUGCCAUCGCGUGCGGGCCGGGCCUGUGCAGGAUAGGUGGGAGGCGGAGAAGCGGGGCCGCCAGGUCCCGUGGAGCCGGCGGUGAGAUACCACCCUGGCCGGGCCGGCGCGCUCACCCAGGCGGCGGGAGCGCCGCUGGGGACGGUGGCUGGUGGGGAGUUUGACUGGGGCGGUCGCCUCCUAAAGGGUAACGGAGGCGCCCAAUGGUCCCCUCAGGCCGGAGGGCAAUCGGCCGGAGCGUGCAAGGGCAGCAAGGGGGCUUGACUGCGAGGGAGACACCCCGAGCAGGGCCGAAAGGCGGGCCUAGUGACCCCAUGGCGCCGGGUGGAAGGGCCAUGGAGCAACGGAUAAAAGCUACCCCGGGGAUAACAGGCUGAUCGGGCCCGAGAGUUCCCAUCGACGGCCCGGUUUGGCACCUCGAUGUCGGCUCGUCGCAUCCUGGGGCUGGAGGAGGUCCCAAGGGUUGGGCUGUUCGCCCAUUAAAGCGGCACGCGAGCUGGGUUCAGAACGUCGUGAGACAGUUCGGUCUCUAUCCGCCGCGGGCGCGGGACGGUUGCGGGGGGCUGGCCCUAGUACGAGAGGACCGGGCUGGACGGACCGCUGGUGUGCCAGUUGUCGGCCGACCGGCAGCGCUGGGUAGCCAGGUCCGGCAGGGAUAACCGCUGACGGCAUCUAAGCGGGAAGCCUGCCCCAAGAUGAGCCGUCCCAUCCCAUACGGGAGUAAGGCCCCGGGGAGAUGACCCGGUAGCGAGGCGGCAGGUGGACGGCGGGUAACCGACCGGAGCUGAGCCGCCCUCAUGGCCGAGGCCAGUCCCU